UAGAAUGUGAAAGGCCAUUAGA
rnacentral:miRNA from 1 species